rnacentral:tRNA from 1 species
GAAGGUAUAGCUCUAUGGUAGAAUGUGUGCUUAGCAUGCACAAGGUCCUAGGUUCAAUCCCCAGCACUUCCA